rnacentral:rRNA from 1 species
UACGUCGGGUGCGAGCGUUAAUCGGAAUUACUGGGCGUAAAGCGUGCGCAGGCGGUUUUGUAAGCCAGAUGUGAAAGCCCCGGGCUUAACCUGGGAAUGGCAUUUGGGACUGCAAGGCUGGAGUGUGGCAGAGGAGACUGGAAUUCCUGGUGUAGCAGUGAAAUGCGUAGAUAUCAGGAGGAAUACCGAUGGCGAAGGCAGGUCUCUGGGCUGACACUGACGCUCAUGCACGAAAGCGUGGGGAGCAAACAGG